CCUACGGGUGACAGCAGUGAGGAAUAUUGGUCAAUGGGCUUACGCCUGAACCAGCCAAGUCGCGUGAGGGAAGACUGCCCUAUGGGUUGUAAACCUCUUUUGUCAGGGAGCAACGCCGGCUACGUGUAGCCGGACUGAGAGUACCUGAAGAAAAAGCAUCGGCUAACUCCGUGCCAGAAGCCGCGGUAAUACGGAGGAUGCGAGCGUUAUCCGGAUUUAUGGGGUUUAAAGGGUGCGUAGGCGGAAUGCCAAGUCAGCGGUAAAAUCGCGGGGCUCAACCUCGCUCCGCCGUUGAAACUGGCGUUCUUGAGUGGGCGAGAAGUAUGCGGAAUGCGUGGUGUAGCGGUGAAAUGCGUAGAUAGAUGGAAGAACACCAGUGGCGAAAGCGGCUCUCUGGUCUGUAACUGACGCUGAGGUUCGAAAGCGUGGGUAGCAAACAGGAUUAGAUACCCUGGUAGUC
rnacentral:rRNA from 1 species